rnacentral:rRNA from 1 species
GAUGAAGAACGUAGCGAAAUGCGAUACUUGGUGUGAAUUGCAGAAUCCCGUGAACCAUCGAGUCUUUGAACGCAAGUUGCGCCCGAAGCCUUUAGGCCAAGGGCACGUCUGCCUGGGCGUCACGCAUCGCGUCGCCCCCAAGACAUGCUCAUCCAG